GACGAACCGUGCGAACGUUGUUCGGAUUCACUGGGCUUAAAGGGCGCGUAGGCGGUCGACCAAGUCUGGGGUGAAAUCUUUCGGCUUAGCCGGAAAAGUGCCCCCGAUACUGGCCGGCUAGAGGGAGAUAGGGGCAUGUGGAACUUCCGGUGGAGCGGUGAAAUGCGUAGAUAUCGGAAGGAACGCCGGUGGCGAAAGCGACGUGCUGGAUCUCUUCUGACGCUGAGGCGCGAAAGCCAGGGGAGCAAACGGG
rnacentral:rRNA from 1 species